ensembl:lncRNA
AAAACCUCAUCAGUGUAUCCUCACCUCACCCGUGUAUCCUCACCUCAUCAGUGUAUUAAAACCUCAUCAGUGUAUCCUCACCUCAUCCGUGUAUUAAAACCUCAUCAGUGUAUUAAAACCUCAUCUGUGUAUUAACCAUGUGCAGCAUUCGACAAAGAUUUAGUCCUACUGUAGAGUGCCCCAUAGUGGAGAAAGGAGGUCAAACCUAGUGUGUAGAUUCUACCAGCAGUCAGUCAGGUGGUCCUAGUAGUCAUAGCGUUGCGUCUCAAAUGGAAUCCCAUUCCCUAUAUAGUGCACUACUUUGAAACUUCAGAACCCACAGGGCUCUGGUCUAAAGUAGUGUACAAUAUAGGGAAUAGGGUGUCAUAGGGCUCUGGUCUAAAGUAGUGUACAAUAUAGGGAAUAGGGUGCCAUUUUAGAUGUACCACUAUUAUGCAAUCAACUCAUGUAAAAGUUAGUUACUGAGCUCCUCCUCAAUGACGUGGUGAUACAGAGGGAGGUCCUCCUCAGUGAUGUGGUGUUAGAGGGAGGUCCUCCUCAGUGAUGUGGUGUUAGAGGGAGGUCCUCCUCAGUGAUGUGGUGAUACAGAGGGAGGUCCUCCUCAGUGAUGUGGUGUUAGAGGGAGGUCCUCCUCAACGACGUGGUGAUACAGAGGGAGGUCCUCCUCAGUGAUGUGGUGUUAGAGAGGGAGGUCCUCCUCAGUGACGUGGUGAUACAGAGGGAGGUCCUCCUCAACAACGUGGUGUUAGAGAGGGAGGUCCUCCUCAACGAUGUGGUGUUAGAGGGAGGUCCUCCUCAGUGAUGUGGUGUUAGAGAGAGGUCGUCCUCAGUGACGUGGUGAUACAGAGGGAGGUCCUCCUCAGUGAUGUGGUGUUAGAGGGAGGUCCUCCUCAGUGACGUGGUGUUAGAGAGGGAGGUCCACCUCAGUGAUGUGGUGUUAGAGGGAGGUCCUCCUCAACGACGUGGUGUUAGGAGGUCCUCCUCAACGACGUGGUGAUACAAAGGGAGGUCCUCCUCAACGACGUGGUGAUACAAAGGGAGGUCCUACUCAGUGACGUUGUGUUAGAGAGGGAGGUCCUCCUCAGUGACAUGGUGUUAGAGAGGGAGGUCCUCCUCAGUGACGUGGUGUUAGAGAGGGAGGUCCUCCUCAACAACGUGGUGUUAGAGAGAGAGGUCCUCCUCAGUGAUGUGGUGUUAGAGGGAGGUCGUCCUCAGUGACGUGGUGAUACAGAGGGAGGUCCUCCUCAGUGAUGUGGUGUUAGAGGGAGGUCCUCCUCAACGACGUGGUGAUACAGAGGGAGUUCCUCCUCAGUGACGUGGUGUUAGAGGGAUGUCCUCCUCAGUGACGUGGUGUUACAAGAGGGAGGUCCUCCUCAGUGACGUGGUGUUAGAGAGGGAGGUCCUCCUCAGUGACGUGGUGUUAGAGAGGGAGGUCCUCCUCAACGAUGUGGUGAUAUAGAGGGAGGUCCUCCUCAGUGACGUGGUGAUACAGAAGGAGGUCCUCCUCAGUGACGUGGUGUUAGAGAGGGAGGUUCUCCUCAGUGACGUGGUGAUACAGAAGGAGGUCCUCCUCAGUGACGUGGUGUUACAGAGGGAGGUCCUCCUCAGUGACGUGGUGUUACAGAGGGAGGUCCUCCUCAGUGACGUGGUGAUACAGAGGGAGGUCCUCCUCAGUGACGUGGUGAUACAGAGGGAGGUCCUCCUCAGUGACGUAGUGUUAGAGGGAGGUCCUCCUCAGUGAUGUGGUGUUAGAGGGAGGUCCUCCUCAGUGAUGUGGUGUUAGAGAGGGAGGUCCUUUCUAACUACAGUAGAAAUAGUAGAAUGUCUUUGCUACAGUGUUCAUCCAUCAUCCAUCCAUCCAGCCAUCUAUCCAUCAUCUAUCCAUCAUCCAUCCAUCCAGCCAUCAUCCAUCCAUCCAUCCAGCCAUCUAUCCAUCAUCUAUCCAUCAUCCAUCCAUAUAUCCCUCCCUCCAUCCAUCCAGCCAGCCAUCUGUCCAUCAUCCAUCCAGCCAUCUAUCCAUCAUCCAUCCAUCAUCCAUUCAUUCAAUCAUCCAUUCAUUAUUCAUUCAUUCGUUCGUUCAUUCAUCCAUCCAUAUAUCCAGCCAGCCAGCCAGCCAGCCAGUCAGUCAGUCAGCCAGCCAGGUAUAUCUGCAGGUAGCAGGUUCUUCUCUUGCUAUCGGAAUGACAGUGAUGACAUCGAGCUAGUUGAAUCACACUGAUGAUGUCAUCAAGCUUCAGAGUCAACUGUGUACCCCUCCGUAUCUCCAUGGUAACCUCCUGCGGAGCCAGCAGGGCGUCCCAGACAGUCCCUCAGCUGCUCCAGUGGUUCUGCUACUCCUCAGUGACACAUCCCAGAAGUCAUCU